CAUUCCAGCUUGGAAUAGAACUUGGACUUACGGUUGUUCAGAUGCAGCAGAUUGAAAACAACCAUGUGACAAAUCUUCGUAGCCAAACAGAGGAGGUCCUUAACAAAUGGAGGAGACUUCCAGAAGCUACAUAUGAAGUUUUAGAACGGGCUCUUCAUCGCCUUCACUUGUCUCGAGUUUUAUCAUUCUUAACAUAUGAAGAAGGAUUAGAGGAACAAGUGGAAGUAGGAAUAGAGGAGGAAGUGGAAGUAAGAUUAAAAGAGGAAGUGGCAGAGAGAAUCAUACACGACAUACAAAUCAGUCAGAUUUUAGAUUAUAUGAUGUCACAUUUGGUAAUAUCAUCAGAUGACAGACGAAGCAUUGAACAACCUGUUAGACAAGAUGAUCAGAAUAAAGCAUUACUUGAAGUAGUGAACAAGAGGGGAGAGCCUACCUAUUCUGUGUUUGUUGAUGCACUACGAACAAGUGGAUACACAGAUCUAGCAAAUGAUUUGAAAUGUGAAUCACAUGAAGAAGCCUCAAGUGCAGCAUUAGUAUAUACUGAAAACAUGGAAAAUAAAGGGUUGUCAAAUUGGACUGUUCCGAUGUAUAAAGUUCGUCUACAAAAGAACUACUCAAACAUCAUUGACAGUAUACAGCAUGAGAAAAUAGUCGAUCAUCUGAUAUCACGUGAUGUGUUGACCAUAGCUGAUAGUCAAAUGAUAAAUGCUUGUCCAGCACAAAUACAAAAGAACAGGAAAUUAAUGGACAUACUUUUGCAUGAAAGUGAACAUGAAUUUAUUGAAUUUAUCAAAGCUCUCCGAGAAGACUCUGUAUAUGCAGAACUGGCAGAUGAAAUAGAAAACACAACAGUCGCAAGCAGAGAUAUAUCAACCAUUAAGAGUUGCUUCAAAUGAACUGAAGGAGAAGACAAGAUAAAAUACCUGAAACGGAAACCACAAAGUAUCGUCAAAGUCUUUUUAUCAACAUCUCCUUGUUAGACACCAAUGAACAAAGAAGAUGAUGAUUGGAGGGAGACGUACAUAAAUUAACCAAAGCAAUAUAACCCAAUUAAAUGUGGACCAAUAUUUGUACCCUUAUAUUAUGUAUUUUUGAGUUAACAACUGAUAAUAGGAAAAUUUGAAAUAUUUAUUUAUAAUAGCUAUAAUGUCGAGCUCUCAUGGUAGAAUUUAAAAGGUAUUUUAAUUUGUUGCUAAUUUUUGAUAAUAGUGUUUACCUGUAUAUUUAUGUUACCUGUAACUUAUCAUAUUGACCAAAAUUCCGUGAAGAGUAUAUUUUUUAAUGUAGUCAUUUGUUUUUCGUUUUUUUUUUAUAUUUGCAAGAUAAUUUAAAAUUUAUUUCAGUUUGUAAGUUAUUGAAUUUCAGUUUUAAGGUUUAUGAAACUAGAUUAUUUAAGUGUAGUUAUAUAACAUAACAUAUAUCAAAUGUGAAGUUUUCGGGCAGAAUUAAUAGACAUGUUAGCAGUAUGUCUGAUACCUAAGAAAGCCAACAAUUGCAAGCGACUUAAAACCAAACAUGAAUACCAGUGAUGUUUGACCCUUCCACAGAUAGUGUGGCAGAAACCUACUACUGUGAAGGACAUAGACACUAAGGUGUUGAUAGUAUGACAGAAACUGUUUACUUUUAUAGUUAAAUCUUUUUACCAUGAAGGUUACAAUACAGACUCUAAGGUGCAGAUAGCUUGGCAGAAGAAAAAAUCUUCCAAGGAGAGAAGUUAUUGUUUAAUGCUAUAUUCAGUUUAAAUUAUUACGAGCCAGUGUUAUCCCUUUGUGUCCUUUCUGAAAUUAUUGGACCAUGCAAUUCGAUCCAAAAUCGGUAGAAAUUACUUAAGAAAGGUCUUGUUUAAUGUUCUCUUUUAUGCUGUUUAAAUCAAAUGAAAAGAAUGUCUGCCUUCGGAAAUCUUAGACAGCAGGGGAUGUACGGCAAAUUUUUAUCGGGGGAUUAUUCUUUAUUCUUCUCUGAGUGUACAAGGGAAUUGUAUUUUAUCUGUCAGAAAUUAAUCAUGUGAAGAGCAUUUGUUAAUGAUCAUCAUUUGUUAUUUAUCAGAUGGCAAACGUGAAACCAUUGGUUGUACAUUACACAAAUCUGUCAAAUCCUACACCUGCUGUAAAUAUUUCAACAAGAACCUGACAGGAAGUUGUGUGUUCUUGUGUCUCAAUCUUUAGCAUGUUAUGUUGUGUAUUGGGACAUAUUCAGUUUUCUUGCGGUUUAUAUGUUUUGUAGUGUUGUUGUCAGUUUGACUACGACGUGUGUGAUUUUAAUGUCUCCUUGGUAUAUUUUGGCGCUUUGUAUUGCAUGGUUCUCUAGAAAUGAUGUCCAUUUGAUGAGAUAAAGAAUUUUACCACCAGAGGCAAUCUUCAGUUCUGAUUGAAAAAAGAACAUUAACAUCAGACAAACACUUUUUAAUUCAAAUAGAUAAUACACAACUAAAGAAGGUGUUAUUUUAUUCUUAUGGAUGACAAACUCAACCACUAGGGGUAAUCUUUUAUUUUUGAUGGAUGAAAAACUCAACCACCAAGGGAAAUUUGGAAUUCUACUGGACGAAGAAGAACUCAACAGCAAGGGGCAAUUUUGUAUUCUUAUGGACGAAGAACUCAACCACCAAGGGCAAUCUUUUUAUCUCAUGGACGAAAAACUUAACCACCAGGGGCAAUCUUGUAUUCUGAUGGACAAAGAACUCAACCACCAGGGGUAAUCUUUUAUUCUUAUGAAUGAAGAAUUCAACCACCAGGGGCAAUAUUUUAUUCUUAUGGAUGAAGAACUUAACCAUUAGGGGCAAUCUUUAGAGUUCAUCGACGAAGACAUUGACACCGGAGGCAAAUUUUAAUUCUAAAAGACAACACCACCACAUGCAGUUUUUAUUUCUAUUGCUGAAAAGUUAGGCUACUAGAUACACCUUUUUUAUUCUAAUUGAUUAAAAACAAGACAACCAGAGGCUAUUUGUUAUUUUAUUGCCGACAAACAAGACCACCAGAUGCAACUUUUAUUUCUAUAAACUGAUGAAGAACUCACCCAACUGAUGCGAAAUUCAGGUUUAUUGCUUAUUUUGUGUGUGUUUUUACAUGUCUCUUUGACAAAUAGCUUAUAUUGCAACCAUUGUAAAUAGGAGUGUAAAAUAAAUAAUAUUGUAUAUAUAUAUUUUGCAGUAUAUUUUGUUUUUGUUACACAUGAAUUACAUUGUCACUUUCUUUUGUGCUUGUUAAUUGACGUAGCUUUUUUGCAACUAACACAUGUAACAUUUAUCAUGAUUAGUUGAAGGUUCAUACAGAUAAUGUUUAUGAGUAUGUAAUUUAUCAAGUGGUGUCUUAGCUUUUUUUGUCAACGUAAAAUGCAGGCGUCUUUAGUGAAACCGGCAAAAUACAGUGUGUGCACUCUUGUUAAACUGUGAAUGAUAAAUCAUUGCAACAUUUUUUUUUUUAUAUGUAAAGCUUGUUGAAGAAGUGAACGAGGGUUAUAUUUCAACAUCAAUGUCCCAUACACUUUCAAAUUUACAAAUACUUCAUCGUACAUGUAUUUGUUGGUUAUAAACUUUCGGAAAGUAUGUUUUAUCAACUGUCAGAGCUACACGAAAAAUGUCUUUUCCGAAAUAAGAAACGAAACUGGCUGGACAUAAGAUUUUUUUUAACUGUGCUCCUUGUAUGAUAACCUUUGUCAGUCAUACAUAGUAUGAUAGAUUAGAGUUAUACGUUGUUCUUCACAACAGAUGACGCUUAUCUAGUUAUCCUAUGAAAAUAAAAACAACAAGUUAUACAUGCGUCCGAAGCGCUUUUUUCGGCUUUACUUUCAUCAGGCACGCUCAAAGUCGAAUAUUUGAAAACCAAGGAUGUAUAAGAACCGAAACAGUUAAAGAUCUAUAUGACCAAACCGACAUAAACAUAUCCAAAUCCACCUAAGGUCAAUUAUGCCUGAUGAGUUGAAACCUUAAAGGAUUAAUUGUGGUCUGUAUGAUAUUUGUGAUAUUUGUGAAAAUGGAACUUAAGUUCGUGAUAACAAAUCAAAAAUACUAACAGGCAUAUAUAUUUAAUGAGUUUAAAUACGUCACUGUUUGUGGUACCUGUGCUGCGAUAAAGAAAGAUGUCCGUUGUUAUGCGUUUCAAUGUACUAUUAUAUUAUUUAUGAAUGCGUUUCUCUCUGUUGAGUGUUCUUGUGUUUGUUUGUACUGUAUUCCUGUCACGUAGUGUUGUCAUUUUAGCGAUAUUUUUUAACAUAGCCAUAUAAGCGGGAAGUUUGGCUAGCCAUAAAACCAGGUUCAACCAACAUUUUUUUUUAAAUGUCCUGUACUAAGUCCUGAAGAUAGCAGUUGUUAGUUGAUGUGUUUCCCGCAGUUUUAGUUUGUAACCCGGAUUUUUUCCUCUCAACCGAUUAAGGUAGAUUUCAACCCAGUCAAUCAACCUGUUUAAUUAAGAUAGAUUGAAUCACAACACAUAUGGUACUGUGCUUAUAUCUUUAGACUGCAUUGAAGAACUAUGAUUUUCUCGACAAGCAAUAACAACUGAAUAAAUGAUCCAUAUGCUCACUCAUUUAUUGUUUAUGUUAUAAGUUAUUCAUUGUUUGAAACAGCACGAACCUUAUAUGUAUGUUGAUUGUAUGCAAGUUAUUCUUUAUUUGAAUCAAAAUGUUUUAUGUGUUGUCCUUUGCUUUUAGUUAUUCAUUAUGAAUUAUAAUUUUUGUUCAUUUACAUAUCAUGUAUAUAAUUAGUUCGGUAUUGCAAUAUGGACCUUCAAUUCAUAUGUUUUUGUGUAUGAGCUUUUCAUUAUAAUUGCAAAAAGUGCAUGAGUCAUUUAUUUUUUGUAUCGAAGCCUUGUUCUUUAAAUGUCUUUGUAUAUAGGAUAUUCUUUAUUUGAAUGGGGACUAUACAUGUGUACGUCAAUCAUUCAUAUUUUUUGUAUAUAAGUUAUUCUUUAUUUGAAUAGGGACCGUGCAUGUGUGUGCUUAUAUCUUUAGACUGCAUUGAAGAACUAUGAUUUUCUCGACAAGCAAUAACAACUGAAUAAAUGAUCCAUAUGCUCACUCAUUUAUUGUUUAUGUUAUAAGUUAUUCAUUGUUUGAAACAGCACGAACCUUAUAUGUAUGUUGAUUGUAUGCAAGUUAUUCUUCAUUUGAAUCAAAAUGUUUUAUGUGUUUUUCUUUGCUUUUAGUUAUUCAUUAUGAAUUAUAAUUUUUGUUCAUUUACAUAUCAUGUAUAUAAUUAGUUCGGUAUUGCAAUAUGGACCUUCAAUUUAUAUGUUUUUGUGUAUGAGCUUUUCAUUAUAAUUGCAAAAAGUGCAUGAGUUAUUUAUUUUUUGUAUCGAAGCCUUGUUUUUUUAAUGUCUUUGUAUUUAGGAUAUUCUUUAUUUGGAUGGGAACUAUACAUGUGUACGUCAAUCAUUCAUAUUGUUUUGUAUAUAAGAUAUUCUUUAUUUGAAUAGGGACCGUACAUGUGUAUGCAAUGCAUGAAUAUGACUGUGUAAAAAAGUUAUCCUUUAUUUGAAUGGGGACCAAAUAUGUGUAUGCAAUGCAUUCAUUUGGCUUUGUUUAUAAGUUAUUCUUUAUUUGAACGGGGACCACACAUAUGUAUGCCAUGCAUUCAUUUACAUUUGUAUAUAGGUUAUUCUGUAUUUGAACGGGGACAACACAUGUGUAUGCCAUGUAUUCAAUUGCAUUUGUAUAUAAUUUAUUCUUUAUUUGAACGGGGACCACACAUGUGUAUGCCAUGCAUUCAUUUGCAUUUGUAUAUAAGUUAUUCUUUUUUUGAAUUUGGGACCUUACAUUUAUAUACAUUGCUAUCUUUUUUUUAUAAGUUUUUCAUUAUAUGGAUAAGAACCUUGCAAUUAAGUUUCUUUGUAUGUACAUGAUACUUAAUGUGAAUCUGGACCCUAUAUUGACAUUCUGUUGUAUAUAUCUUAUACAUUAAUACUAUCAGGAGCUUACAUUUUUAUGUUUAUAUCAGUACCUCCUUAUUUGAACCAAGACCUUAUAUUUUCAUUUUUAUAAAAGUUAUACUUUGUUUGAAUUAUUCAUAGAUAUAAGAAGAUGUGUUAUGAAUGUUAAUGAGACAACUCUCAAUCCAAAUCACAAUUUGUAAAAAGUCAACCAUUAUAAGUCAAAGUACGGCCUUCAACACGGAGCCUUGGCUCACACAUACAUGUUUUAUCCUUUGUUAUUAACUUAAAUAUAAUUUGAAUUAGGAUUACAUUUAUUCUCUGUUGUAUAUAACUUAUUCUCUAAUUUUUCUGCUAUUUUAAUAUAACAUUUCUUGAUCGGUGUGAGAAAAAUAUUUCUCCUCACUAGUGAAAUAUCAAUUCUCGACAAAUCACUGGUCGAAAUGUAAUUAUGACAUCUAAUUUUCUUGGUUUCUUCUGAAUUUCCUAUUGUGACUUCAUGAAAAAAAGGCGACCAUGCCUAUUGACGUCACAUAUAAAGAACACAACUUUCUGCAAAUCUUUUAAACAAAAGGAUAAAAAUCAUUAAAUAAACAGAUUCCACCACUAUAACUCGUGUAUUACGGUUUUGUAUGGUAUUGACAAUAUUUACUUAUGUUCUCCACUUUCAACAGUAAAAUUCUAAUUAUUUAAAAAGUUCGGCAAACCUCCCGUUUUAAAUAUUAAAAUUUAACUGUCUCGAGUGAAGAAAUAUCGUAACACACUUGUUGCAGUUGUGGAAUCCAUAUUUCUUUAGAAAUUUAGUAUUGUAAAUUUGUGUAUUCUGUGUGUAAUGUGCAUGAUAGUGAUUAACCUAUGUCAUUCUCAAAAUGUUCAAUAUUAUACUGUGUACCAGAGUUACCACCAUCUCGAAUUUCAGAUAGACAUCAAGAACAAACAAAAAUAAUAUAUGGUCACAGUUAUAUUAUUUAUACAAUGUUCAAAUAAGAUUUGUGAGCCAGUUUCUUAGAAGCACAUAUUCGACCUACGACAUGGUUCUAUGAAUGGCGUGUACAUCUGUAGGUAACAAGCAACUUAAACAACUUAAACACUCCAUGUUAUUUAUCAGAAAUGCCUAAUGCUGACAGUUAUAACGGAUAUCAUGUGAAUGCUGCUUCUAUCUUACUUAACGUCUUAUUGAACAGCGGUAUACUACUGUUGCCUUUAUUUAACAAUGUAUGUGUAAAUGUAAUUUGUCCAUUUAAAAAGCUAAAAUUUCCCAAAAAAAAAAAUCAAGGAGCAAGGCACAUUAUACUUAUCUUAAAAAGAGAGCUGAAUCUAGUGAUAUACUUUAUAUACUGGCCAUAACUUAAACAUGUCAAUGCUGUUCAUUAAACAAAUGCACGGAUGACCUACAGAUAACAUUUUUGUUCAUUAAUUCAAUAAAUGUACAACAUGAAGUUGUGGUAUCUAGUACGAGCUUUACAAAAUCAAAUUUUAUCAUUAACGGAACAAGUGAAACACGACUGCUAUAAUCCUGACUUGGUACAGGCAUUUUCCGAUAAAAAGGGUAGUUUAACCUGGUUUUAUAUCUAUGUAAACCUUCCAAUUGUAGGAUAAAGAUAUGAUCGUUUUUUUCAGUGUAUUUAAUAUUGACAUAUGUACUACUUGUAUAUGAUAUUUAUUAUUUGCUUAUGUUUAUAUAUGUUCUGUAACAUUAUUUUCCUGACUAUAAAGUAUCAACCACUA